GAGAUGGGGCGAAAAUCUCUAAUAAGGAUGCCCGAUGAUGAAAAAUUCAUGGCCUGGCAUCGCACGCAUCCUGCGCUGGCUCCUGAGUAAACGAAAACACUCCGACUCAGUCACACGCAGCGAACACAGAGGCCAGCGAUAUAUAUAGUGAAAGCCCCGAAAAAUAUAGCCAAAUUGAGACCAAAAUCCAAAUUGUGCAAUAAAUAAAGCGCUGCAUAACCCGCAGGGCGCAGCCAUCUUAUUCCGAAGCCAAAUCGAGAAAUUCUUCGAAACGCGAGUGCCACCAAAAAUUGAUUGCUUCGAAUUCGCAGCCAGUGAUUGUAUAAUUUCCAUUGCUUUGCUAUUUUUACGGGUGUGGGCGCCCAACGGCAGCGGCAAAGAGGAUAUAUCUAUCUAUAUAUAUCUUCCAGGAUAUACGGAUUAACCCAAUCUGCGCCAGAGAUAAUUAGCGAAAAUCGCCAAAUUCCCGGGCAUGAAAACUUAAUUGACUUGAAUAAAUAAUUUCCAGCCCGAGUUGUUGUUGUUUGUGCGCCUACGGUUUUUUUCGGUGAAAGCGAAUGCGGGCCCAAAGCGGAAUCGGAAAAAGUUACUGAAAUACAACGGCAGAAAAAAAACGAAUACAUAGAGAAACUGCCGCUGCCGUUGCCGCCUGUGAAAGCAAAGAGAAGGGGGUGGAGAAGGAGCGUGGGCAAAAAGAGAGCGAGAGGAAGAAAGCGCGGAGGAGGUCGCGGAGUUGGAGAAAGGGGGCUCGAGGAGUAAGAGAAAGCAGCCAUUACUGCGAAAGAGAGCCGGAGCCGGAAGAGAAAGGCGCAGAGAAAGUCCAAGAGACAACAUCGCAAUUUUGUGGACGACAUUCACAGUGGAUGGAAACUUUAUAAACAAACGUUAAGCCCUUAAGAGAAUGCUGACAAAAUAAAAAACGCAAAAUAAAUAUAAGUUUAGAAAUGUAACUUAAAAGAAAAGACUCAUAUCAACACAUAUCAUUCUAUAGUCUAUAGAAAAUAUUAAAUAACUAAAUAUACAAAAAGAAAGCUGAGAAAAGCUGAUAAAUAAAUCCAGCAAUUACCUAAAAACUAAAAGAUAUUUAAUUGUCUUAAAAGAAUAGAAACCAAUGCGAUAACCAUACAUAUCAUGUAAAAGCGUUUAAUGCCAAAAGGUGAAAUAUGAAAAGUAUAAUUAAUUAGCACAUUAAAGAGAAAUGUAAUUCAAGAAAUUAAGAAAAUCUACGAAUGGUAACGUAAACAUAUCAUGUAAAACGCCCAAAAAGCUUGCUGAAUCCCUAAUCAAGCUUUUUUAUCUUAUCAACAAAAUAAAAACAAAACAAAUGAACUAGCCUAAGGAGAGUUGUGCAAAUUAUCGCAUACAUAUCAAAGCUCUUGCAAAGAGCAAAUAUAAAUAUUAAAUUUACAAUUAUCUAAGAUCUAGUUACCUUAGAAAAUCCAAAGAAUAGUAAUUUUUGUUAGAAGUUUUACAUUAGUUGUCUCGAAUAUAACAAGAAAGAGAUAUAUACAACAAUAUUGUCACAUAUCAUUGAGGAAGCCUCAGCAAAAGUCUAAAACUAUAACGACUAGAAAACUUAUCAAUUAUAUAGACUGCGUGUUUAUGAAUGCUACGCGAAAAUAUUAAUUACUUUAUCAAGCGGACCAAUUGCAAAUGACGAGAAGACUUCAUUGAAUUCCAGACGACGGAUCGAAGAAUAACUAAAGUUCUUAAAAGACUUUAAUUGGGCUGCAAUCGGAAGCUCCGAGCAAUUUGUUUACAUUUUGUUAACCAAGCUGUUAUUGUUGCUAUUGCUGUAGUUGUAGUAGCUGGCCCCACUGUUUGUUGUUGAGUAAAUCACAAUAAAGCUAUUAAGAACGGAAACGGAAGCAUUCGCCGCUGCGCACGCAUUGAAGAAUGGCCGUCAACAUUUGUCUCUCCCAUCUGCGGACCUCCCGAUCGGAUAAUACGUGGUAUGCUAUAGUGCGGCACUCAGCUGCCACCCAUCCGCCCACUGCUACUGCUCUUUUCAGUUCAGUUCAGUUCGGUAUAGUUCAGCACGAUUCAGUCGCUUUGGCUAGAGCUCAGCUAAAUAAAUGAAUGACAGACUUUUGUUCUAUUCUGCUUGGCAAAAGCAGGGGAAGCUCUUAUGGCAUCCUGUGCGAUUUCAAAUGAAGGGGAAUAUCAGAUGGGAAAUGCCUUAGAUCUUUCUGCAGUCGGGAAUCAGUCAAAGUCCAACGAAGACUGAAUGUAUUAAGUUGAAACAAAGUUAUAAAAUAUAGACAUUAUCACAAUACCAAUAAGUAUAUAUAUAUUCCAUACAAAUUUAAGAGAUAUUAAUAAUUGCUUUUUUGCACCACAUCAACCAAUUUUUUUCCUCAUAUGCAUAACUGGUUUUCCCUGCACUAUAAUUGACCUUUCAGCCAGGAAUCCCCCUUCAUCUAAAGCCAGUUAGAACUUGAAGGAAGUCGCCUAACUGCAAGUCAAACUCCUUCCUCCUCGAGACAGUCUAAUGCACGAAUGCAGCUAAUAAUUUCUUAAUCUGACAUGCAUUAUGCAUUUCUGUGAUUGUUUAUUGCAUUAUGCGCCGACUGCCGGACUGAGGCCGUGGUCAUUGCCAUUGUCCGGCUGUUUCUGCAGAAUGGAACCCAAAAAAGUGGCCAACUCAUGGCGAGUAAGUGCCGCAAUGACUGGCCUGACUACGGAAUUCUCUCAGUUUACUCCACUGUCUGGGCCCCACAGAUCCCCGUUGUCAUUGUCUUCUGGCAAUUGCAAUUGCAAGUGGCUGGCGUACUUGGUUUGCAGUUCGAGUUGGACUUGCUGGACGGACUGGUUUCCGAAAACGUUCGCUUCUCAGUCCGUUCACCCUGCCCAAAAAGUAACCCUCUAUAAAAAGAAAACAACACGGGGAAAUACAUAGGGCAUAUGGCUUGAAACAGAAAAACACCUGACUGUGCCGCGUGUUGUUUUCCCCACUGUGUUUGUGAGCAAGUACGCUUCCCUUUUUCCCGAAGUCGUUACAACCAUAGCAAAGUACAAGUGCACUGAAAGAAAUAAAUUUAUAUAGAGAUAUAUUUAAGUAUAUUAAAUUAGUGUAUUUGUCAUUCUGAACUCCUGAAUCAAACUCAAUAUGUUUUUGGCAUUUUAAAGUGUCGCAUUGUAAUAAAUUCCCGAAAAUAGGAAACUAUUUUUCUGAGUGUACUGAUAGUCUGUGCUUGUAGUGCACCUGUCCCAUCUCUCUGGCUUGAGCCAUCGCCAAAGGAGGAAGAAGCAGCACAAGCCGGCUGCCGGCUGUUGGCCGUCGACCGUCGACUAUCGACCAUCGAAUGUUGGCCGUCUGCUGCCUGAUGUCUGCCGCCUACCUGGGACAAUUGGCCAAACAUUAAGAGCAGCGGUCUGUGUGGAUGGUGUCUGCAGAGGAUAGAUGAAGGGAGAGCAAGAAAGGGGGAGGGGGAAAAGGAAACGAAAGGCACUUGAACUCAACUGUUUAGAUUCCCAAAAGAGAAAGGCAGAAAAUUCAAUUUUUGAAUUUGUUUUCGAUGCAUAAACAAGAAUUGGUAAUGGGAAUUGGUUCCUGGCCCACUCUUGCCCCUCCUCUGAUUAGGCCCUGCAGAGUCUAUAAAUAUGACCAAGUUAUGACUACGGAUCACGUCAGAGUUCCUGGAACUCCAUCUCCACCUCCACCUCGACUCAGUUCCAUUCCACCUGUCCUGCCCACAAUUUUCAAUUUGUGUACGCAAAUCCAAGGAAAUCGUGGCCCGACAUGAAACAACAGCAGGACUAAUGCCGUUCGAAAAAAAAAAGCCCAACUAAAUCCGGCCAACUAUUACCAAACUAAACUGAACCAUCUUGUGUAUGUAAAGUUAAUUCCAGUCGGUGAGUUAUGAAUAAAUAAAUAUUGUAAAUGGUUUAUCGUGACUUGCUGUCGUUGUGUACAUGUAGUUCCCCUCCGUUUUAUCCACGACACACAUGCAAUGCCUUCAAGGAUAAAUGGUUUGGGGGGCUGACGAAGGGCUGAUGGGCGGCGAUUCAUGACAUGCAAAUUGCAUUUUGUCAUUAUUCCGGCUUGUUUGAUCAAUUUUUAUGACAAAUUAUCGAAGAAAAACAAAAGAAAUUGUGACAACGUUGGGGUGGGCGCUUUUUUGUUGAAUAUUGUUGGGGUUAGCUGGUGGAAGGAGCUGCGAUUGGAGAUUUUAAUGGACGAUUAUUAACUAUUUAUAAGUUAAAUGCUUGUUCUGGCGUCAUUAUGCCACUCCGUAGAUUCCAGGAAAACAUAACUGAAUUAUUCACACAAUAUCUGAACAA